AGAGUUUGAUUCUGGCUCAGGAUGAACGCUGGCGGCGUGCUUAACACAUGCAAGUCGAACGAAGCACUUUAUUUGAUUUCCUUCGGGACUGAUUAUUUUGUGACUGAGUGGCGGACGGGUGAGUAACGCGUGGGUAACCUGCCUUGUACAGGGGGAUAACAGUUGGAAACGGCUGCUAAUACCGCAUAAGCGCACAGCAUCGCAUGAUGCAGUGUGAAAAACUCCGGUGGUAUAAGAUGGACCCGCGUUGGAUUAGCUAGUUGGUGAGGUAACGGCCCACCAAGGCGACGAUCCAUAGCCGACCUGAGAGGGUGACCGGCCACAUUGGGACUGAGACACGGCCCAAACUCCUACGGGAGGCAGCAGUGGGGAAUAUUGCACAAUGGGCGAAAGCCUGAUGCAGCGACGCCGCGUGAGCGAAGAAGUAUUUCGGUAUGUAAAGCUCUAUCAGCAGGGAAGAUAAUGACGGUACCUGACUAAGAAGCACCGGCUAAAUACGUGCCAGCAGCCGCGGUAAUACGUAUGGUGCAAGCGUUAUCCGGAUUUACUGGGUGUAAAGGGAGCGCAGGCGGUGCGGCAAGUCUGAUGUGAAAGCCCGGGGCUCAACCCCGGUACUGCAUUGGAAACUGUCGUACUAGAGUGUCGGAGGGGUAAGCGGAAUUCCUAGUGUAGCGGUGAAAUGCGUAGAUAUUAGGAGGAACACCAGUGGCGAAGGCGGCUUACUGGACGAUAACUGACGCUGAGGCUCGAAAGCGUGGGGAGCAAUCAGGAUUAGAUCCCCUGGUAGUCCNCGCCGUAAACGAGAAAAAUAGGUUGUUGGGGAAGCAUUGCUUUUCGGUGCCGUCGCAAACGCAGUAAGUAUUCCACCUGGGGAGUACGUUCGCAAGAAUGAAACUCAAAGGAAAUGACGGGGACCCGCACAAGCGGUGGAGCAUGUGGUUUAAUUCGAAGCAACGCGAAGAACCUUACCAAGUCUUGACAUCCUUCUGACCGGUACUUAACCGUACCUUCUCUUCGGAGCAGGAGUGACAGGUGGUGCAUGGUUGUCGUCAGCUCGUGUCGUGAGAUGUUGGGUUAAGUCCCGCAACGAGCGCAACCCUUAUCUUUAGUAGCCAGCGGUCCGGCCGGGCACUCUAGAGAGACUGCCAGGGAUAACCUGGAGGAAGGCGGGGAUGACGUCAAAUCAUCAUGCCCCCUAUGACUUGGGCUACACACGUGCUACAAUGGCGUAAACAAAGGGAAGCAAAGCUGUGAAGCCGAGCAAAUCUCAAAAAUAACGUCUCAGUUCGGACUGUAGUCUGCAACCCGCCUACACGAAACUGGAAUUGCUAGUAAUCGCAGAUCAGAAUGCUGCGGUGAAUA
rnacentral:rRNA from 1 species